rnacentral:rRNA from 1 species
GAUGAACGCUAGCGGCAGGCUUAAUACAUACAAGUCGAGGGACAGCACAGGUAGCAAUACUGGGUGGUAACCGGCAAACGGGUGCGGAACACGUACACAACCUUCCUUUAAGUGGGGGAUAGCCCAGAGAAAUUUGGAUUAAUACCCCGUAAUAUAGUUGAAUGGCAUCAUUUGAUUAUUAUAGCUACGGCGCUUAAUGAUGGGUGUGCGGCUGAUUAGAUAGUUGGCGGGGUAACGGCCCACCAAGUCUACGAUCAGUAGCUGAUGUGAGAGCAUGAUCAGCCACACGGGCACUGAGACACGGGCCCGACUCCUACGGGAGGCAGCAGUAAGGAAUAUUGGUCGAUGGACGCAAGUCAGAACCAGCCAUGCCGCGUGAAGGAUUAAGGUCCUCUGGAUUGUAAACUUCUUUUAUUUGGGACGAAAAAGGGCCUUUCUAGGUCAACUGACGGUACCAGAUGAAUAAGCACCGGCUAACUCCGUGCCAGCCGCCGCCGUAACAC